UCCCUUUCUAUUUUCUAGCCUUUUUCCUUUUCUGGAAAGCCCAGCCGUCCGCCUUUUCCUUUCCCCUUUCCAUCCCCUCCCCCACUGCAGCUGCCCUGCUGCCCCCUCCUCGGCGAGGCGCCUCACGAGCGCCGCGAGGUCAGCACGGGAGCCGCGCCCGCACGAGCUCCGCGAGGGAGGUGGCCAGUACGGCGAGGCGCCGUGCCCGCAUGAGCGCCGUGAGGUCAAAGUGCAGCGGCGGCCAAUACGGGGAGGCGCAGCGACCGCUCGGGCUCCGCGAGGUCCAGGGGCGGAAGCAGCCAAUACGGCGAGCGGUGCCUGUCCGGCGACCAUACGGCCUCCGCGGCGUGCUCGACCUUGCUCCUACGCCUCCUACCCGGGCUGGACAUCCCCCCGUGCGUCGUCCCCACCCGCAUCACCAAGCUCCCCAACAGCGUCCGCGACUCCCCGUCGCCUCCGAGGAUUUCCAGAUUUGACAGGGAGCAGCACAGGGAUGGCGAUUUUGGUAGCUCUGCUCUGAUGAUGCCGUCAGAGCACAGCUUGCUCGUUUUCAGCAUGAGGAAGAAGAUGAUUUGACAGGGAGCAGCACAACUUGCUUGUUUUGUUUCUUUGUAGCAAGUUAUUCUAUAAAUACUGAACACUAUGCAAGAAAAUCAGCAACUGCCAUUGUUCAAGAAUGUACUAAUUCUCUGAACAUUGUUUUGUUUUUCUGUAGCAAGUUAUUUCUAUAAAUACUGAACACUGCAAGGAAAUCAGCAGCUUUCAUUGUUAAGAGAAUGAGCUAAUUCUUUGAAAAUCUUUUUGUUUUUCUGUAGCAAAAUAUUGUAUGAAUUAUGAACAUUUGUGCAAAGAAAUUGUUGCUCCUUUGGAUCGAUGCCCGGAGGCGGGACUGACUGACUCACUGAUGUUUCUUCAUCCACAACAAUGUUCAGAUUAACACCGAGGCUCCCUGCGUUCACAGCGUCUUGCCAAGUACAAUACUACAACC